rnacentral:rRNA from 1 species
GACGAACGCUGGCGGCAUGCCUAACACAUGCAAGUCGAGCGAGUAGAUCCCUUCGGGGUGAAGCUAGCGGCGGACGGGUGAGUAACACGUGGGCAACCUGCCUCAUAGAGGGGAAUAGCCUUCCGAAAGGAAGAUUAAUACCGCAUAAGAUUGUAGUACCGCAUGGUAUAGCAAUUAAAGGAGCAAUCCGCUAUGAGAUGGGCCCGCGGCGCAUUAGCUAGUCGGUGAGGAAACGGCUUACCAAGGCGACGAUGCGUAGCCGACCUGAGAGGGUGAUCGGCCACAUUGGGACUGAGACACGGCCCAGACUCCUACGGGAGGCAGCAGUGGGGAAUAUUGCACAAUGGGGGAAACCCUGAUGCAGCAAUGCCGCGUGAGUGAUGACGGCCUUCGGGUUGUAAAGCUCUGUCUUCGGGGACGAUAAUGACGGUACCCGAGGAGGAAGCCACGGCUAACUACGUGCCAGCCGCCGCCGUAAUAC